GAAGUUUGUGUGACCGAGCACCUCGGUGCUGCAUAUCUGAUACGUUAAACUAUGUGUGUGGAUCAUGAACUGUCUAGUCGCUGUCCCCUGCCUGAUUUCGCUAGCAGCACUAGCUAGGCUGUGUAGGCGUCCCUGCUUGGCACAAGUGUUUGGCCCUGGGUCCAGCGCAUGUACUGUUUCGGAGCAUCAGACAUCCAUUUUUGGAACAUGUCAUGUCACCGCGUAUGUGCCAAGUAGCCAGAACAAGCUUUGCCUUAUUGUUAACUGUGAGGGGGGUGCGGGCCCAUUUGCUAUCCCCAUUAGCUCUUCUUCUUC
rnacentral:lncRNA from 1 species